UACAGAGACUGCAAGCGUUAUUCGGAUUCACUGGGCGUAAAGGGUGCGCAGGCGGUUGUGGGUGUCAGGUGUGAAAGCCCGGGGCUUAACCCCGGAAUUGCGCCUGAAACUACAUGACUAGAGCAUUGGAGAGGGUAGCGGAAUUCACGGUGUAGCAGUGAAAUGCGUAGAUAUCGUGAGGAACACCAGAGGCGAAGGCGGCUCCUGGACAAUUGCUGACGCUCAGGCACGAAAGCGUGGGGAGCAAAAGGG
rnacentral:rRNA from 1 species